rnacentral:rRNA from 1 species
GACGUAGGGCGCAAGCGUUGUCCGGAUUCAUUGGGCGUAAAGGGUGCGUAGGCGGCGCGGUAAGUCGGGUGUGAAAUCUCGGAGCUUAACUCCGAAACUGCAUUCGAUACUGCCGUGCUUGAGGACUGGAGAGGAGACUGGAAUUUACGGUGUAGCGGUGAAAUGCGUAGAUAUCGUAAGGAAGACCAGUGGCGAAGGCGACUACCUGGCCUGUUCUUGACGCUGAGGCGCGAAAGCUAGGGGAGCAAACGGG